GGCGGGGAGGGGGGAGGGGGGAUGGGAGGGGGCAUGGUCUCCAUACUCAGGAGUAUUCAUCUCACAAGAGGCACCUGGAGGAGAAUCCUGGCCCCCGUUUGGGUCGCGAGCCCCGCUGUGAUGCUGGCGCGUGCUAAGGACCGUCCCCUCAAAGAAAAGAGAACAGCUGCAGACUGAAAGAUGGUGAAAGCUACAAGGCAUUUGAGGACUAACCAUUGUAACAAUAGCUGCCAACCCCUCCUCUUUGUAACUGAAAUGGAUUUGCAACAACAUUUGUCGGAUGAACAAACAAACGCCUGACUUAAAGAACACUACAAAUUAAAAUUGAGAAGACAUCACCCUUCCUGGACGGUAUCAGGGAUGACUAAACGAAGGUAAAAUUUGGAAAAUUUUAAGGAUUGGGACAAAAUGGAUGGAGGUGAGGAGAGCAAGGGAGACUAACGGGCCACGAGCCUCACCCGUCAAGAUAGGAAAGUGAUUUGUCUUCAUCACCAUUUUCCUAUUUCCGUUGACCAGGGCAAGUAUUCCUUACCUGCGCGUUGGUUUUCUAUCUGCUCUGUGAUUUGGGAAAUGGGACCCAUUCCUGGUGAACUCCUCAGAGCUGAGGAAGGUAGCAGUUUCCUGACCUUGACGUUGCCCCCAAUGAAAUGGAAAACCCUUUCCGGUGAUGUUCACGUGACCCACUUUCUCCAGGUGGGUUCUCGUCAAUUUGAUCCACUGCCUUGGGAAGAGAGGUUGGAUAAGACAAAGCUGAGUGGACUCCUUCCCAGGCUAUGAGAUAUGGGUUGGCUCAGUGUCGAGGCUCUGACUUCAUCGACUUCAGCUCAGUGGGUUAACUUCCAUCAUGGACCAAUGAUUCCCGAAAAUGUCUCCUUGUAUGGCACAGUCACUUGGGGUGGGAGAUGGGUGGGUAUCAUGACUCAUCCAGAAGCUAGGCCUUCUUAUCAACGGGACAGGAAUUUUUAGAAUAAGAUUCGGAGCAUCGGGGAGGUGGGAGACCAAGUAGAGAAGGCCCUGUAGGUCAAGGAAGAGGGUGCA